UCUGCUUGACAUGAGCUGACGUGACACAGUUGUGACAGUUUAUGUCGACAUGGGGCGCUCAGUAUAUUUUUUUUCUGCUGUAUUUUCACAUCUUGCUCCCGUUUGUUAGCACAACUUAUGUAUCUUACAUUAAAUUCUAAGAAGAGAACGCAUCCACAACUUUAAUCAUUACAAAUACUUUACAGUCACCUGUCUUUCACUCUGGACAGAGCAUCUAACAGUGAGAAGCUCGUAUUUGUUCUUGCUUAGUUUGUCAAUUUUAUAUUUGUAGCCAGAUCUCGUAACGUUUGAGAAUGAGCCACAUUUAAGUACGUAUUGAUUUACUGUCGCUGAUACACAUCCCGUGUAUCCAUUGUUUCGACCCUUAAGUAACUAAUCACGGGCAACGCACUCGAAACGGACUGCGGGUCGCUCCGCAGGUAACUCUGCCAGCUUGGCUGUUUGGCAGCGCUUUCAGUCGACUGGCUUUGUAUACCUGGGGACGGGUUUUUUCGUUAAUACUUCCGUUUUGAAGAUACACUGCCCAAUGCGAGAUUUUCUGCAAGCAGAGCGUCCAAUUAAAAAGUCUGUUGGCAUUUGGUCCAAUGGCUGCAAACAUAGGGCGUGUCAUGUGGGAAUGGCGUCGACCGAGUGACUGGUUGCCACAUCAUCGGGUAACAUCAUCAUUAAUGUCGUCCUUUCCGUGGCGCAUUCAUUCAUUAACGCUUUUCAUGUGCAUUACUUGUCAAUUAAUCAUACGACACAUUGUACCGAAUCCGUAUAUUCCGGCGCUCAGCGCUGAAUUCACUGAAAAAUAAUCCUCCUUGCAUGCAUAUUUAUAAGCAUUUUAUUUAAGGACAUCAUCGAAAUAAUACUCGACUUUUGGUAACUGCCAA